GGAUGAGUGGAGCACGUUUCUCUCGUGUUGAAUAACAAGUUAUGUAAAUCGUGAAUGAGACUCCGGGGUUAGACAAGGCAAGAGAUACUGGACCAGUUUGUUUUUGUUUCUGGAAUUCUAAAGAAGAGUCAACAAUCCCACUAGACAAUGGCAUCAAGGGUGACGAAACUAGCCAGGAACGCCAAGCCUGUUAAAAAGGAUGAGGUGGGGAAAGGCAUUGCAAAGAAACGCAAAGCUGAGUCACGCCAAGAGACAGCGAGUCCACAGAGGAAUGGUGUUUGUGAGAAGAAGGAGGUGAACAAGGAGAAACCAGAGGGGCUCAAUGGAGGCACUGCCCUACCUGUCAGGAAUAAGAAAGGAGAACUUGUAUUUGAAGGAGAAAUACAAUGGGGUUUGGAAGGAGCUUCCUGCAGACUGGCUUGAAGGCCUAGAAAUUCCACAGCAGGUGGCCUCUGCGGUGUACAGGGAGGCUGUGAACACCUACAAGGUGAAGUGUGGAGGCAGUCUGGAGAUGUGGGAGAGCAGCGGCUGGAUUGUGCCUCAGGACACCUACGGCUGGUUUCAGUGGUACUGCAGCCAUCAGGAGCAAAGCCUUCAGAAAAGAGAACUCUCCGGGCAGGUGUAGAUGCAUUGGGCUGCUAGGAGUCUUUAUGUUAAGUGAACUAUUCUAAUCCUCUGCAGUCCCCCUGGAAGAAAGAACACAGAGCUGUGACCUUUGGAAUCACUGCACCUUCUCUAUCCCUGUAUCAAACCUCAAGUGAAAGCAUACGACUCUGCUCGACACACUGGUUCAGCAGAUUUACCUGUGGAAGCUGAAACACAUCACGUGCUGGACAAUCGAUAAUGAACUGCAGCAAUGCCCUCUGAACAGCUGUUUAAAGUGUUAGUCAUUGGAGGAUCUCAAGUGGGUAAAACCUCCUUUGUGAAACGCUGUGUUGGUGGGGUUUUCACAGAGUUCUACAAGGUGACAAUAGGAGUUGAUUUUGCAGUUAAAACUAUUGAAUGGUCCAAUGAAGAAAUAGUGAGGCUGCAAUUCUGGGAUAUUCAAGGACAGGAGGACUGUUUACCAAUUACAAGGGCCUUUUUCAGAGAUGCAGAUGCUUGUAUCAUGAUGUUUGAUGUAACCAGUGAGAAGUCCUUUACAUUCUGUGAAGCACUGAAACAAGCAGUAGACACAGAGGUGCCUGGAAAAGAUGGAAAUCCAAUACCUUGUGUUCUUCUAGCAAAUAAGUGCGACUUGGCACAGCGAACAGUACAGCCAGGGGCAAUUGCAGACUUUGCAAACUCUUUAAACUUUUUCACAUGGAUGGAAAUAUCUGUCAAGGAGAACAAGCAUGUUGAAGACUCGGUAAGGCAGAUUGUGGAGGCAGUAAUGACAAAAAGAAAUCUGUCUGCUGCAGUAGCAGUAGGGUCAGGAACUGUGGACAUUGUACCAGAGCACAACACCCCCGCCCGUGGUUACUGCUGCAUAGGGUUAAGGGCCAACAAAGACAGCUAUGAGCAGUUCUGAGAUACCGCCGAUGCAAACCUCAAGAGGAUUCACCAAGAGACUCAUCUUUUAUGUAGAGGAGCUCUACUUACCACAAGUCUUCUGUUCUUCAUUUAUAUAGUUUAAAUACAAUAUUGAUAGUUCCAUACAUGCUGUUGGAGAAUUUUACAAAACACUGUACGAAGUAUCACUCCUGUAGUUCUCUGAAACCUGUCAAAGCCCUCCAAGCAUUUCUUUGAAAUGAGGGUUAUCUGAAUGGAUGUGAAUUCCAGCCAGCAGGCAGUGUUAAAACUGAAUACAAAUCAGAAUAAAAGCUCACGUGUUUAAACAGUUUAUUAUUUCAAGACGCAAUGAACAGCAGGUAUUUUUUUUGCAGACUUCUGAAUGGCAGAGUACAACAAAUGGGAAAAUGUUACUUCUGAAUAAGUAUCUGUUGACCUAAACUAUUCUUACACUUGAUUUGUUUCUUUACCAAAAAAAAAAAAAACACACAUUGUGCACUCGGAACAAAUUUAAAACAUAUAAAAAAGGGUUCUUAAAACAAAAACAAAAAAAAAAAAAAACCUCAAAGUGAAUUAGAUUGUGGUCCAAGCGGCAUUACCUGUGAAGUAGACUACUCUGGGUAUAUAAAUAUGUAUCUGCUCGUAUGUCUCCUAGUUAUAUACUUCCAAAUAGAAAGAUAGCACCAGAGUAAAACCCAAUUAAAGUUUUCAAAGCUUACCUACCAUUAAAAAAAAAAAAAAAAAAAAUCCUUAAAAA